rnacentral:rRNA from 1 species
AGGUUUCCGUAGGUGAACCUGCGGAAGGAUAUUAUAGAAA